rnacentral:lncRNA from 1 species
AACAAACUCAGCAUGACCGGUGAAACUUUGUGAUGGAUUUUUAAGACCUUAAUUAUGUUUAUGAAUUUAAGACCUUUAUAAUGCCAUGUGAUCACAUGCAAUGCUCCAGUUAGCAGAACGCAUGAUUGCAGUUCAUAUGAGAACCAUGAUCUUCUGUCAGCAGUUUGAGAACGAAAACACUUUCUCCAAUUGCCAAGGCUUGCCAAGACACCUGUCACAUUACCCAUAUGUUCUCAUCCUGGCACAGGAGACUGAGGGUGAAAGAAGCAAGACGGAGAGAAAGGGAAAAUGGAGGUGCAGUCCUACAUUAUUUUCACUCUGCCAUCAUGAGGCUUGCAAAUAUUGUGUGCAUAUUAAACCUAUCAGUGGCCUCUGCCAACACUAUGCAUUGCAAACUGAACUGAGAGCCAAGUUGAAGGGCAGCCAAAGAAUGUAUGCUCUGUGGCUGAGCUGAACCCAAAGGGGUGCCGGUCACAUAAGCAAUGCUAAAAUGGACUGGAUGGGAAACACAAAACACUCACUUUAGUUUAGCAGGUCUGAUUAAGCCCAAAAUUAAAGAUUCAAUAUAUUGUGGGCCUGUGACUUAUGGCUGAACAAAAGACUACACUUCAAAGACAACCUCCAAAACCUGCCCAUCAGCACUGGCAAACAAGCAAAGAAUGCUUACUUCAAGAUAAGCAGUAUUUUGCAAAACAGCAUGCAGCCCGAACCAAGCAAGACAUGAUAGAGCAAUAUGAGAUGGGCAACAAAUAGUCUGCAGAGUGGGAGACUUCUGAGAAAAAUGUAUUUUGUGAAUUUGGAGGGGGAUAAUGUGUGGGGAUUAUCUUAUCUGCCCUGGUGUGAGCAGCAUAACAUGCAAGAACAUUGAUGUAUUUUAAAUUUGUGCAUUGGAAAUAACAAGGAAUGAAUUAAUAAAUGUAGCACUGACCCACAUGAAAUUGGGUUUCUGGGUUGAUUAAGACAUGAGAAAGAGUUCCAUUAUCCAUUAGCCUAUAAUCUCCUAUCAUCUGUGUAGCAGGCCUAUUAGAAUUCCCCAUGCAUUGGAGAAAAAGCACUGGAAGACAACGCAAUC